rnacentral:rRNA from 1 species
GACGAACGCUGGCGGCGUGCUUAACACAUGCAAGUCGAACGGUAAGGCCCCUUUGGGGGUACACGAGUGGCGAACGGGUGAGUAACACGUGAGCAACCUGCCCUUGACUCCGGAAUAACAGCUGGAAACAGCUGCUAAUACCAGAUACGACUCAGUGCGACAUCGCAUCGAGUGGAAAGCCCUGGCGGUCAAGGAUGGGCUCGCGGCCUAUCAGCUUGUUGGUGAGGAACGGCUCACCAAGGCUUCGACGGGUAGCCGGCCUGAGAGGGCGACCGGCCACACUGGGACUGAGAUACGGCCCAGACUCCUACGGGAGGCAGCAGUGGGGAAUAUUGCACAAUGGGCGAAAGCCUGAUGCAGCAACGCCGCGUGCGGGAUGACGGCCUCGGU